AUAACGUCGAUCAGCAGUUGUCGGAAUGUAACAUAAAUUUAGGCAAUAAGUCGCGCAAUGCUUCAAUGUUUAAUGUCUUAAAGACAGUGAACUUGUGAAGUGUUUAUAUGGUAUAAUGACAACUGAAUCAAUUAAAAAUCCGCAGUUGAGCCCUAUUAAAGAGCAAGCAUUUAACCAAGCCC